rnacentral:lncRNA from 1 species
AUCGAUGUUCUGAUGGGAAUGCGUGUGAUGUCAGUGUCCGAUAAAGACAUCUCUGUGAAGAUCAAAUCAAGUGGAGAAGUCGUAAGCCUUCCUCAUGGUUUGAUACUGUGGUCCACCGGUGUUGGGACACGUCCAGUGAUCAGUGACCUCAUGGAGCAAGUUGGCCAAGGAGGGAGACGAGCCUUGGCGACCAACGAGUGGUUACAGGUGAAAGGAUGCGAGAAUGUGUAUGCAGUUGGAGACUGUGCUUCCAUAGCUCAACGCAAAAUCAUGGGGGAUAUUGCGAAUAUAUUCAAAGCUUGUGACGUGGACAACUCAGGGACGUUGACGGAAGAAGAGUUACAAGACGUGGUUGAGGAUAUCAAUGUGAGGUACCCACAGGUUGAGCUCUACUUGAAAAGCAAGCAUGUGAGGAGUAUCAAAGACCUUCUGACUGAUUCAGAAGGUAAUCCAAAGAAAGAAGUGGACAUCAAGGCGUUUGAGUCGGCUCUCUCUGGGGUUGACUCUCAGAUGAAGAGCCUGCCUGCAACUGCUCAGGUACACUUAAGCGGGGUUUUGUUGUGGAACACAGGCUCAACGGUCUUAUCGUGUUUGUUACUGUGUAGGUUGCUGCUCAGCAAGGUUCUUAUCUUGCAAAAUGUUUUAACAAGAUGGAGCAUUGUAAAGAGCAUCCUGAAGGUCCUAAGCGCUUCAGAACUGGAGGGCAUCACCAGUUUCGUCCCUUCCAGUAUGUCAAACUCUUGCAUCCUCCGUAUAACUCGCUAAAAGACAGAGAUGAAACUGAAACCUCUUUUUUUGUGGUUGAUGACAGGUACAAGCACUUUGGACAGUUUGCUCCACUGGGAGGGGACCAAGCAGCUGCUGAACUACCAGGAGACUGGGUUUCAGCUGGAAGAAGCACCCAGUGGCUCUGGUAUUCUGUUUAUGCCAGGUAAAAUAUAAAUGCUGAUAAGCUCUAUUUACUAAUAGAAUCUAAAGGGUGUAUGAACACAAAUGAUGUGGUGAAUGCAGCAAGCAAGUUAGCUGGCGAACGAGGGCUCUGGUGGUGUCGGACUGGACAAGGAGGUACAUCUUUGGGAGGGAUUCAAGCCGUAUCUGAGAGCCAAGUCUUGUAAUGUGUUUGUGAGAUUGUCUGACCAAGAUUCAGUGUUUUUCUCUUUGGUGUACAAAGCUGUGGACUCUUUGUGAUUAGUGAUGAAGCCAAACCUUUUAUUAUUCGUGAAGCCAUGGCCCAGUAUAGACCAUGGGUAUUCAGGCCUCUAGCGCCUCGCUUAAUUUGGGCCCGCGGAUAUUCUUGUUUAAUUCAAGAUGAAAAUACAUUAUUUAUUUUUUAUUUAAUCAAAAAUGAAUAAAUUAUUUUAAUGGCGACCUGAUGCGGAAGAGCCUCUCGAUCUGCUCCACUUGCCUCUAAGCUCCUCCUACUCGGCACUCUCAGGUUUCACUUUUUUCACUUGUUUCCCAAAAGUCGGAAGGAACCUUUUUAUGCUGUAUAGUUGCGUUUUCUCAAAUCUUGUAACGCCCUUUAUCUCCAAUCUUUUCUUUAUAAUAACCUUUAGUGUUUGACUUAGGACAACGUUCUUGUUCUGUUAAACUUAAAUCUAAUACCUUUUUAUUGACUUGGUGUCAACGAGACCUGUGUUUCACAAUUUUUGGAUUUGCUCACAUUGAGAAUGUGUUGUAUUCUCUACACAUUUGCAGCGGUGGGAGUUUAGUGGCCUACUCAGAUUCUAACAAAAAGGAGGAAGAGCAGAAGCAGAAGAAGAAGAAAGUAGUGGUACUUGGCACUGGAUGGGCUGGUAUAAGCUUCCUUAAAGAUCUUGACAUCUCUUCCUACGACGUUCAGGUUGUUUCUCCUCAGAACUACUUUGCCUUCACUCCAUUGUUACCUAGCGUCACUUGUGGAACUGUUGAAGCUAGAAGCAUCGUUGAGUCUGUCCGCAAUAUCACCAAGAAGGUAUCUUUGUAUCUUUGGUCAAUCAUCAUCAUCUGUUAAGCUUACAUACACUUUUGUUAUUGGCAGAAAAAUGGAGAGAUUGAGUUAUGGGAAGCAGACUGUGUCAAGAUCGAUCCUGCCAACAACAAGGUUCUCUGCCAACCAGUUUUCAAGGAUGACCCUGAAGCAAGCCAAGAGUUUUCGCUAGAGUACGACUACUUGAUCAUAGCGGUGGGAGCGCAGGUCAACACGUUUGGCACUCCUGGUGUUCUUGAGAACUGUCAUUUCCUCAAGGAAGUAGAGGAUGCGCAGAGGAUAAGGAGAGGAGUGAUUGAUUGCUUUGAAAAGGCGGUUCUUCCUGGUCUCACUGAGGAGCAGAGAAGGACAAAGCUUCAUUUUGUUAUAGUGGGAGGUGGUCCUACUGGUGUGGAGUUUGCAGCUGAGUUACAUGACUUUAUCGAAGAGGAUAUCACCAAAAUAUACCCUUCGGUCAAGGAGCUUGUGAAGAUUACACUUAUUCAAUCUGGAGAUCAUAUCUUGAAUUCGUAAGUCAAAAGACUAUGGUAGCUUGUAGCCAUCGGCAUUCGGUUUUAGGUUCGGUUCUUUGGUUCUAGUAGUUUAGGAUCCCAGUAUUUAGAAAAUUCAGUUCGGUUUUGGUUCAGUUAUUUGGGUUUUUGGUUCGGUUAGGAAAGCAAAAUUGGAAACCGGCUAAUAUCCUUAGGUAAAUUUGGAUCCCAUUUGGUUCCGGUACGGUUAUGGCUUUUCGGUUAAUUCAGAUUAAAAAGUCAGAAAUUCAGUGUUUUCUGAUUAAAUAUCAGAUUUUUUCGGUUCCUCUGUUCCGGAUAAAUGUCUAGUAGCUUGUCUUGGUUGUUGGGAGUUUGACAAAGUGAUUGCUGUUGUUGCAGGUUUGAUGAACGUAUCAGUUCAUUUGCUGAACAGAAGUUCUUGCGAGAUGGGAUCGAUGUUCUGAUGGGAAUGCGUGUGAUGUCAGUGUCCGAUAAAGACAUCUCUGUGAAGAUCAAAUCAAGUGGAGAAGUCGUAAGCCUUCCUCAUGGUUUGAUACUGUGGUCCACCGGUGUUGGGACACGUCCAGUGAUCAGUGACCUCAUGGAGCAAGUUGGCCAAGGAGGGAGACGAGCCUUGGCGACCAACGAGUGGUUACAGGUGAAAGGAUGCGAGAAUGUGUAUGCAGUUGGAGACUGUGCUUCCAUAGCUCAACGCAAAAUCAUGGGGGAUAUUGCGAAUAU